rnacentral:rRNA from 1 species
CCUGGCGGCCGCCUACAAUGCAAGUCGAGCGAUGAAAUCCGGCGGAUUCCUUCGGGGAGAAACUGGAUUGGAUUAGCGGCGGACGGGUGAGUAACACGUGAGUAACCUGCCUUUGACAUGGGGAUAGCCUCGGGAAACUGGGAUUAAUACCCAAUAACAUUAUUUUGUCGCAUGAUAAGAUAAUCAAAGUGCUUAGCGGUCAAAGAUGGACUCGCGUCUGAUUAGUUAGUUGGUAAGGUAACGGCUUACCAAGACUUCGAUCAGUAACCGGCCUGAGAGGGUGAACGGUCACAUUGGAACUGAGAAACGGUCCAAACUCCUACGGGAGGCAGCAGUGGGGAAUAUUGCACAAUGGGGGAAACCCUGAUGCAGCGACGCCGCGUGAGCGAUGAAGGCUUUCGAGUCGUAAAGCUCUGUCCUAUGGGAAGAUAGUGACGGUACCAUAGGAGGAAGCCCCGGCUAACUACGUGCCAGCAGCCGCGGUAAU